rnacentral:lncRNA from 1 species
CCAGGGGCGGAGGUAGUGAAGGAGAAGUGGGGUCAGCUGACCCCACUAUUUUUUAAAAUAUAUUUGUUUUUGUUUAAGAAAAAAAUUAUUGACCCCAUUAAAAUAUAAAAUUUGACCCCACAAAAUAUAUAAUCCUACUAAAAUAAUUACAAUAUAUUAAAAAUUAAAGUUAUAAUUUGUAGUUUUUAAUGGUUUAUAAAUUAUGUUUUUGAAAAAAAAAAUUAUGACCCCGGUAUAAAAAAUUUCUGGCUCCGC